CGCUAUCACUCCUACGGGAGGCAGCAGUGGGGAAUUUUGGACAAUGGGGGAAACCCUGAUCCAGCCAUGCCGCGUGUAUGAAGAAGGCCUUAGGGUUGUAAAGUACUUUGUUAGGGAAGAAAGCUAGUUUUAAUAAAAUUAGUGAUGACGGUACCUAAAGAAUAAGCACCGGCUAACUACGUGCCAGCAGCCGCGGUAAUACGUAGGGUGCAAGCGUUAAUCGGAAUUAUUGGGCGUAAAGCGAGUGCAGACGGUUACUUAAGCCAGAUGUGAAAUCCCCAAAGCUUAACUUGGGACGUGCAUUUGGAACUGGGUGACUAGAGUGUGUCAGAGGGAGGUAGAAUUCCACAUGUAGCGGUGGAAUGCGUAGAGAUGUGGAGGAAUACCGAUGGCGAAGGCAGCCUCCUGGGAUAACACUGACGUUGAGGCUCGAAAGCGUGGGGAGCAAACAGGAUUAGAUACCCUGGUAG
rnacentral:rRNA from 1 species